CUACGUGCCAGCAGCCGCGGUAAUACGGAAGGUUCGGGCGUUAUCCGGAUUUAUUGGGUUUAAAGGGAGCGUAGGCUGGAGAUUAAGUGUGUUGUGAAAUGUAGACGCUCAACGUCUGAAUUGCAGCGCAUACUGGUUUCCUUGAGUACGCACAACGUUGGCGGAAUUCGUCGUGUAGCGGUGAAAUGCUUAGAUAUGACGAAGAACUCCGAUUGCGAAGGCAGCUGACGGGAGCGCAACUGACGCUUAAGCUCGAAGGUGCGGGUAUCAAACAGGAUUAGAUACCCUGGUAGUCCGCACAGUAAACGAUGGAUGCCCGCUGUUGGUACCUGGUAUCAGCGGCUAAGCGAAAGCAUUAAGCAUCCCACCUGGGGAGUACGCCGGCAACGGUGAAACUCAAAGGAAUUGACGGGGGCCCGCACAAGCGGAGGAACAUGUGGUUUAAUUCGAUGAUACGCGAGGAACCUUACCCGGGCUUGAA
rnacentral:rRNA from 1 species